rnacentral:rRNA from 1 species
UACGUAGGGUCCGAGCGUUGUCCGGAAUUACUGGGCGUAAAGAGCUCGUAGGUGGUUUGUCGCGUUGUUCGUGAAAACUCACAGCUCAACUGUGGGCGUGCGGGCGAUACGGGCAGACUAGAGUACUGCAGGGGAGACUGGAAUUCCUGGUGUAGCGGUGGAAUGCGCAGAUAUCAGGAGGAACACCGGUGGCGAAGGCGGGUCUCUGGGCAGUAACUGACGCUGGAGGAGCGAAAGCGUGGGGAGC